AUGUUCAAUCUGAUUCCCAGGUAAAAACCAUACUCAAGGUCCAUAGUGGGAGCUACAUUGGAGAUCGAUCAUAUAUAAAAGAAGAAGUGAGAAACCUGAGGUUCGAGAUGCUACUUUUAGUGAGAUUAAGGAGAGGAUUAAGGAAACCAAGGACGAAAAGAAUGCAAAGAAGGUAGAAGCAAAGGCUAAGAGUCACAAAAGUCUCAAGGCAAAGGGAACUUGCCAAAGGGUGCUGGACCCAAGGGCCCCAAGGCUGUGGUGGUAGUCGGGCCAAGGGCAAGCGCUGAACAUGAUCAUCUCUCAGAUUCUGCUCAUUUUUUUUGUGAGUGGGUCGAUGAUUGAUAAUUGAUUGUCCUGGAUGUAAUCUGGUUUGUUCUUUCAUCGAACUUUUAUCUUUGUUGCAGCUGAGUAAGUAAAUAAAGGAGGAGUGGCAAUUUGUCUGCAUUUUAAAUUUUUUAGCAGUGAGUUAAAAAAUGGAUUCGCUUAAGAAUGUCGAAUAACAUGAAAGCCCUUCUCUUGA